UACACAAGAUCCAGCGCACUCACCUAUCCACUAAACAGCAUGUCUGUCAACAUUGAAGUUGCUGUUUAGUGGAUAGGUGAGUGCGCUGGAACUUGUGUAU